rnacentral:lncRNA from 1 species
GUUCUCGUAUUUUUGUUACUGUUAUCUCGAAAUAUUUCUAUGACUAUGGAUCGAAUUACUCUUAAAUCAAAAUCAUUGAUACCUGUUAUGGAAGAUGAACGUUUUCGAGUCUUUCCUGGCGAAGUGAAACUUCCCCAGGAAAGACUCGAAAACGUUCCUCCCAUUCCAGCAUGCCCCUGUAUAUCAGGAACCGCAUGCAGGGGAGUCUCAGGAAAGACUCGAAAACGUCCUCUCAUAUAGGGGUAUGCAGGAAAUACAUUUUCUGCAUACAAAAUGCAGAAAAUGCAUUUAAUGGAUUCUGCUAUAGAAGAAUCAUGACUGAUUCUUCUAUAGCACUUCUGCAUACAGAAGAAUCAGUCAUGUCAGAUGUUUCCGCGGAUAGUUGUGUAUGAUACUCGUGUAGCAAUUUCUGUCUCUUUCGAUGCAUCACGGUUAUUCAUUGAUGGCUCCUUUUUUCUAAUAUAGUUGUAAACAUUACAUACGGUCGUCCUGCAUUGACUUUUAAUAGGCUUUCCACGUUUCAACCAUAUCUCCGCCAUUAGCAUAGUAGAACAAGUGCAUCAUGAGUAAAAUCCAGACAAAAGCAUAUUGGUGAGAAGACUGCGCCUGUCAAAAAGAUCGGCCAACUUAUGUGGCGGUGACUAUAGUGAUUAAUUGCAUUUAUGUCGCGAGA